rfam:Cyphellophora europaea CBS 101466 unplaced genomic scaffold supercont1.6, whole genome shotgun sequence.
GUGGUUAUAGCUCAGCUGGGAGAGCGUUAGACUGAAGUCAAACUCAGUCAUUCUAUCUAAAGGCCCUGCGUAAGUGCCUCUGGACACUGUGAGUACGAGAGCACUCGUUCUAACAGAACCUUCAUAGGUUCGAUCCGCAGUAACCACA